GAUGAAGAACGUAGCGAAAUGCGAUAAGUAAUGUGAAUUGCAGAAUUCAGUGAAUCAUCGAAUCUUUGAACGCACAUUGCGCCCGCCAGCAUUCUGGCGGGCAUGCCUGUUCGAGCGUCAUUCCAACCCUCGAGCCCCCCCGGGGGCCUCGGUGUUGGGGGACGGCACACCAGCCGCCCCCGAAAUGCAGUGGCGACCUCGCCGCAGCCUCCACUGCGUAGUAGCACACACCUCGCACCGGAGCGCGGAGACGGUCACGCCGUAAAACGCCCAACUUCUUAGAGUUGACCUCGGAUCAGGUAGGAAUACCCGCUGAACUUAAGCAUAUCAAUAAGCGGAGGA
rnacentral:misc_RNA from 1 species